AUUUUGUCACAAGAAAAAGAGUGAGAGGCAGAAUAAAGUGGAAUUUUACAAUAAAAUCCAUAAAAUUAAGGAAAAGAACAUGAAGCUGGAUAUAAAGGANCUGGGGGAAAGCUGAAAGAAUUUUGUCACAAAAAAAAGAGUGAGAGGCAGAAUAGAGUGGAAUUUUACAAUAAAAUCCUUAAAAUUAAGGAAAAGAACAUAAAGCUGGAUAUAAAGGGAAUAAUAAUGUCUGAAUCCAAUGCAUGGACAGUAUUUGUAAAUAAAAUCAAAUUCCUUUCCAGGAGCAUCAGAAUUCCAACUUUUAUCCCAUUAUCUAUUGUUAGAAGAACUCCCAGGAAGGACAGCCUCAAAUGCAGAAAUUGGAGAUGUGAGCAGAAAUAUAAGAAUAAAUAACAAAUAUUGCUCCAGUUUUUGGCUCAUGGAGCCAAUCCCAGCCAUGGAAUUCUGUCUCCCAAGCCCUGACUGGAUUUUGGAGCAAUGUUAUUUUAUUUUCAGCUGCUUUGGGAAUUUUUUCCACUGGAGAAAGAGGGAGAAGUGGAUUUUAAUAUUUGGGAUCUCUGUAACUCUUUAACCACUCAAAUGAGGAGCCCUGGAGGGCAUCUGGAAGUUUUGGGGGUUUUAUUUCAACAGCAGAAUGUUAAAUUGAUGGUAAAAAUUAAACUGGGAAGACGGAUCUGAGAUGAAAUUCCAAAUCUCCUGGAACACACUGUGGAUUCUCCCACUCCUCCUCCCCACCAGUCCCAAAUUCCUACAAAAAUUGGUUUUUAAGAGAGCAGAUUUGGGGUGACCAGGGGGGAGCACUUGGCCGUUAUUAAUGAGGCAGUUCUUGCUGAUGAUGCUCGUUAAUCUCCCACCUUAACGAGCUUCAUUCCAGCGAGUGCUCACUGGAAUUCUGCUGGGCAGAGGAGCAGCAAAGUCACUCACCAGCCACUGGGGCAGCUGCAAGGCACCAGGGUCCCACAUCUCCCACGGAGAAUCCUUGCAGGCUCCCAGCUGGGAAUGCACUGGGGUGUACUGGGAUGUACUGGGAGUGCACUGGGAUGCACCAGCCCAGCCCCACAGCUCAGGCACUCAGGCACAGAUGUCCCAGCAGAGAGGGUCCUCAGGAUCCAGCCCUGGGCUCAGGGCAGUGAUGGGCUCCUCAAAUCUGGGAAGGGCUCAGAUCCAACCCUGUGUCACUCACCAGCCACUGGGGCAGCUGCAAGGCACCAGGGUCCCACAUCUCCCACGGAGAAUCCUUGCAGGCUCCCAGCUGGGAAUGCACUGGGGUGUACUGGGAUGUACUGGGAGUGCACUGGGAUGCACCAGCCCAGCCCCACAGCUCAGGCACUCAGGCACAGAUGUCCCAGCAGAGAGGGUCCUCAGGAUCCAGCCCUGGGCUCGUUCUCAGGGUGCUCCAAAUCCCAGAUCUGGGAAGGGUUCGGAUCCAACCUCACACUCAGGGCAGUGAUGGGUUUCUCAUUCCUGCUCCAAAUCCCAAAUACAAGAAAGGCUCAGAUCCAGUCCCACAUUCAGGGCUCCUCAUUCCUGCUCCAAAUCCCAAAUCCAGGAAGGGCUCAGAUCCAGCCCCACAUUCAGGAUUCCUCAUUUCUGCCCCAAAUUCCAAAUCCAGGACGGGCUUCGAUCUAGUCUCGUGCUCAGGGCAGUGAUGAGUUCCCCAUUUCUGCUCCAAAUCCUAAAUCCAGGAAGGGCUCAGAUCCAGCCUUGUAUUCAGGUUGCUCCAAAUCCUAAAUCCAGGAAGGUCUCAGAUCCAGCCCUGUGUUCAGGUUGCUCCAAAUCCCAAAUCUGGGAAGGGCUCAGAUCCAGCCCCUCACUCAGUAUUCCUCAUUCCUCAUUCCUGCCCCAAUCUGCUCCAAAUUGGGACCUGGAGACUUCCAGCACCGAGGAUUUCACUUGGCUCCAUCAAAAUUCCCAAAGAGCACAGGGAUGCCUCAAAUCCUGACCAUGAUCCAGGUAGGAAUGAACUCCACAUUCCAAGGAGAAUGCUUUUAAAGGAUUGAUCCAGUUUGCAAUGAAUUCCACAUUCCAAGGAGAAUGCUUUUAAAGGAUUGAUCCAGUUUGCAAUGAAUUCCCCAUUCCAAGGAGAAUGCUUUUAAAGGAUUGAUCCAGUUUGCAAUGAAUUC
ensembl:lncRNA